GUUAAAUCCUACUUCAUAUCGUUGAAUCAAUACAACUUAAUAUGGAAGAACUAACAUAAUGUACCUUAAAAAAUUCAAGAAAGAUUUUUUUAUCUUACCAAAUGACAUGAACCUACCA